rnacentral:rRNA from 1 species
CGUGUAGGCGGUCCGCUAAGUCUGAUGUGAAAGCCCGGGGCUCACCCCCGGAAGGGCAUUGGAAACUGGCGGACUCGAGUCCCGGAGAGGAAGGUGGAAUUCCUGGUGUAGCGGUGAAAUGCGUAGAUAUCAGGAGGAAUACCGGUGGCGAAGGCGGCCUUCUGGACGGUGACUGACGCUGAGACGACGAAAGCGGUGGGGAAGCAAACA